AACGAACGCUGGCGGCAUGCCUAACACAUGCAAGUCGAACGAGACCUUCGGGUCUAGUGGCGCACGGGUGCGUAACGCGUGGGAACCUGCCCUUAGGUUCGGAAUAACUCCCCGAAAGGGGUGCUAAUACCGGAUAAUGUCUUCGGACCAAAGAUUUAUCGCCUUUGGAUGGGCCCGCGUUGGAUUAGCUAGUUGGUAGGGUAAAAGCCUACCAAGGCGACGAUCCCUAGCUGGUCUGAGAGGAUGAUCAGCCACACUGGGACUGAGACACGGCCCAGACUCCUACGGGAGGCAGCAGUGGGGAAUAUUGGACAAUGGGCGAAAGCCUGAUCCAGCAAUGCCGCGUGAGUGAUGAAGGCCUUAGGGUUGUAAAGCUCUUUUACCCGGGAUGAUAAUGACAGUACCGGGAGAAUAAGCCCCGGCUAACUCCGUG
rnacentral:rRNA from 1 species